rnacentral:rRNA from 1 species
AGUGAACGCUGGCGGUAGGCCUAACACAUGCAAGUCGAACGGCAGCACAGUAAGAGCUUGCUCUUACGGGUGGCGAGUGGCGGACGGGUGAGGAAUACAUCGGAAUCUACUUUUUCGUGGGGGAUAACGUAGGGAAACUUACGCUAAUACCGCAUACGACCUACGGGUGAAAGCAGGGGAUCUUCGGACCUUGCGCGAUUGAAUGAGCCGAUGUCGGAUUAGCUAGUUGGCGGGGUAAAGGCCCACCAAGGCGACGAUCCGUAGCUGGUCUGAGAGGAUGAUCAGCCACACUGGAACUGAGACACGGUCCAGACUCCUACGGGAGGCAGCAGUGGGGAAUAUUGGACAAGGGGCGCAAGCCUGAUCCAGCCAUACCGCGUGGGUGAAGAAGGCAUUCGGGUUGUAAAGCCCUUUUGUUGGGAAAGAAAAGCAGCAGGUUAAUACCCCGCUGUUCUGACGGUACCCAAAGAAUAAGCACCGGCUAACUUCGUG